rnacentral:lncRNA from 1 species
CUGUUAAUACUCAAAAUAAACCUGUAAUCUCAUUAGAGUCAACAAUAUCAAACUUCUGUUUAAAAAAAUUUCCUUCGAGUAGAAUACUAAUUUAGAAAAACUCCUUGAUAGCUCUUACCUUAAAAUUCUUUGCCCAGGGAUAUUAACUAGAUGGUAAUGGUGUGGAAAUUUCUGUUGGUCUCUUUGUAGUCUGUUUCCAAAUAGUCACUUAUUUCGAAACCAGAGAAACAGGAGCUUAAGAGGGAAAGAGGGAAACCACCCUUAAACAAUAGCCCUGCCUUUAUUCUCUGUAAGUGCCUAGCAACAGAAGCCCAGAGAAAGAGAAACUAAGAUGCCUGAGGGCACUGACCCCCAGUCUGCUCCUAUCCUUUCAAUGCCAAUGUGAUCCUAAGGCUGUUACUAAGAAGUGUUAUCCAACCUGGAGAUUUAGCCACUGUAAUGGAAGUGUUCUGACUAAUAUAAGGCUAAGAGAGUUUUCUCAAAAAACUUGAUGGCGUUAUACUUUGGUAAUUAAUAACAUUUAAGUCAGUAUUGAAAACAGGCAUAAUAUAUCAAUAUAUAUAAAUCUUAUGU